rnacentral:rRNA from 1 species
UACGUAGGGGCAAGCGUUGUCCGGAAUCAUUGGGCGUAAAGCGCGUGUAGGCGGCCAGAAAAGUCCGCUGUGAAAACUCGAGGCUCAACUUCGAGCUGUCGGUGGAAACUUUCUGGCUAGAGUCCGGAAGAGGAGAAUGGAAUUCCUGGUGUAGCGGUGAAAUGCGCAGAUAUCAGGAAGAACACCCGUGGCGAAGGCGGUUCUCUGGGACGGUACUGACGCUGAGACGCGAAAGCGUGGGGAGCGAAACAGGG